CCCCACUCAGGGUCAAACUUGGAGAGUUUGCAGUACUCUACCAGUCUUGGCUAUGGGAGGGAGAGUCAAGCAGUGGCCUACCCAUUCCAUUCCUAGCUUGGGCAGUGGCUAGCAAGUGGAAGGCAAUCUGCCACAAGU